GGGCCCGCACAAGCGGUGGAGCAUGUGGCUCAAUUCGAUGCAACGCGAAGAACCUUACCAGGCCUUGACAUGCACUAGACAGACUCUGAAAGGAGUCCUCCCUUCGGGGCUGGUGCACAGGUGCUGCAUGGCUGUCGUCAGCUCGUGUCGUGAGAUGUUGCGUUAAGUCGCGCAACGAGCGCAACCCCUGUCCUUAGUUGCCAUCAGGUAAAGCUGGGCACUCUAGGGAGACAAACCCUCUCUGAGGGUGGGAAGGUGGGGAUGACGUCAAGUCAGGAUGGCCCUUACGGCCUGGGCUGCACACGUGCUACAAUGCCCGAUACAGAGGGACGCAAUACCGUGAGGUGGAGCAAAUCCUAAAAAUCGGGCCCAGUUCAGAUUGCAGUCUGCAACUCGACUGCAUGAAGCCGGAAUCGCUAGUAAUGGCGCAUCAGCUACGGCGCCGUGAAUACGUUCCCGGGCCUUGUACACACCGCCCGUCACGUCAUGAAAGCCGGUUUCGCCCGAAGUGCGUUUGCCAACCAGCAAUGGAGGCGGCGCCCUAAGGUGAGGCUGGUGAUUGGGACGAAGUCGUAACAAGGUAACCGUAGGGGAACCUGCGGUU
rnacentral:rRNA from 1 species